CCUGCCCCUAGCAGGUGUGGCUGCUGUGUCCCCAUGUGCAUCAGUAGGAGUCAGAGAGGAGAGAGGCUAUGUCUACACUUACUAUUCUGACCUGUGGACAUCUGAAUGAUCUGUAACACUCCCUGA
ensembl:snoRNA Gm24505 predicted gene, 24505